AUCAAAUACAGAAAGGUCACAUCCUUUAAUUCAAAAUGGUCACUUCACAGACAUAAUACAGUUACGUAGAUGAACGAAGCAGAUGAACUACGGACAAUAUCGCUGAACAUUGUGUGUGAAUUGUCCCCUCGGUCAAUCGUUUACAAGUACGUUCGCCGAAUGAUUCGGUUGUUAAUCUAAAAGGAUCUCGAGGUGGCAUUCAGAUGGAUCUGAACGAAAUAAUCUCAUAAGAAAUUAAAUCAGCUUAGCACAGUUUAAAACGUCUGACGAGUGAAAAUCAUAUGUAUGUGGUCUAAUAUCAGACAUAUAAUAUAUGUCCCUGCUAAAAUGGACCAUGGUUUUGGAAUUGGUGCUUUUUAAAACGCAGAGGCGGGGAAAUGUUAAACAAGAGGUCUAUAGGCCUAACGUUCACGUGAUUGGUCAUUAUUGCUCUACAUAUAAAACAAGAGGUCUAUAGGCCUAACGUUCACGUGAUUGGUCAUUAUUGCUCUACAUCUAAAACAAGAGGUCUAUAGGCCUACAAUGUAACUAUCACGUGAUUGGUCAUUAUUGCUCUACAUCUAAAACAAGACACAUACCAUGAAGAAUUGGAUUUCAUUUCACUUAGAAGAUAUAUUUCGAUAUAUUUACAGUCUUGACAAAGAAGAUACUCUAGGCAUUUAGAUACAAUCCCUUUUAUCCUUGUUUCUAUUGAUAUUCCCUUGACACCCAUCCUCUACAAACCGCACAGCUUUAUAUCCCCAAAAGUUUUAUGUGUAAUCAAUUUGCAUAUAUCAUAACAUUGAAGACUUCAUUAGAAUGUAAAGGUCACGUGAGACCACAGUUCAAAUGGUUUGCAAUGUACGGCCAUCUUGUAAAUUCAACGAACUUUUAAGAUAGUGAGCAACUCUUGUUGUGACAUUCACACCAUGUCUCAUAACAAUGAAACUGUUGACAUUCGAGCUAUGGUUAGAACAUACUUUAAAGAUGGCGGCCAUCUUGUAUUUUCUUACUUAAAACAUAGAAAUGUCAGGACCUUUUACUGGUCUUUCCAAACAAGUUUAUUCUAUACCUAUUUAGUAUUGAUAUAAAUGAGAUAAUCAAAUCACAAUACUGAUGACCAUCCUGUUUUACCAUGCAUUAUUGUUAUUUAUUUGUUAAUGCUCAUUCUCUGCACUGUACUGUUUACGAGAAAAAAACAAUUAUCAUUGAGAAUAGUUUACGAACGACGGACGAUGCCCAUAACAAUAGCUCGCACGAGCCUACGGCUCAGGUCAACUAACAAAAGACAACAAUCUUCGACUUUUAUGCCAUUUAUUCGGACACUGAAAAAAUGUUUCAAAAUAAAUAUUGCUGUCGAACUGAUACAUUACAAACGGCAUUACAACAUUUCACUGCUUUGGAACAUAUACGAAAUCUAUAAUAUGAAUUUGAGUUCCUCGAUCAAAAUUUUACAGUACCAAAUGAAAAAGAAUUAUGACGAAAGUAGAACGAUAGCCAUUAUUAAGAUUGAAAACUAAUGAAAGUCAUUAUCACAUUAUCACUAUUGAUGCCAUAUCUUGAUAAGUGCGACAAUACCACUUCUGUAGUUCCCGAAGUUGAAUGAUGAUGGUUAUUACCGAUAUGAGAUUGUGCAUUGUCGCCAAGCUUCCCAGAGUUAUCGUUCCUUUGACCAGAAACUUUAAAAACAUUUUCAAA